GGGGAAGGAAAUAAAUAUAACUUGAUGAAGCUUAGCCUUAGUGACUUGAGGAAAAUUUUCUAUUACAACUUCAGAUAUUAGAAAUGAAAUCCAGAAACUUUCUUUUAAGGAAUCCGACCCAUUUGGAUGGAUUUCAAUACUAACUUGAAGAUAACAAGAAAAUUCUAGCUCGGCUUAAGCACCGAUGUGUAGUAUACAACGCAAUACACGAACUGGGAACGAAAAAGAAGUUUCAACAACAUCAUAUCACCUGAAGGCUUAAAGCGUUCAUAUAUCCAUUUACGACAUGACACAAGUCAGUAUAUUGCUUCCCUUGCCCCUUAGCAAUUAAACAAUCAAAGCAGCUUUAAACUUUAGAAGAAACUGAGACUUAAUGACAUUAAAUAUGACAAUGAAAUAUUGAUUCGUGAAGUUAAGCACUCUAUUCAUACACUUAUGAGCCAAACAUCCGACAAAUAUGGUGAGGCAGUUUCAAAAUAUGAUUAACACAUUCAUGACUUUACUUCAGCUGAAUAAAAUUGCAUUAAGAAAGAGAACUAGAAGAGUACCUAGUUGCAGAAGUUAACCAACAGUGAAGAACUUUGGUUUAAAGCGACUAACAUUCUCAGCAGUAACAACAACAAAUCAGCAGCAGAUUUCAGCCCAAGAAAAUGACCCAGAAGCACCUUGAGACCCGACAAAUUCAAAGAAGAAAGAAUCCCAGGACUAACUCUAAUAACUUUAGUUUCUUGAAAGGUUUUUUUUCAGAAAUCUCACACAAAAGCACUCAAAUUUCAGCUUACUUUCUUGAUUUUCAGCUUUCUAUUGGAUAUGUUUAGCUGUUGAUUUUUACUCUCAAAGUUGGGUUUUUAGUGUGUAAAACAUCUAGCAGCUGUGUGAUAGAUUAUGUAUGUUUAGUGUGAAAGAAUGACCUCUUUAAGUAGGAAAAAAUAGGUCCUUUUGGACAGAUUUUGAUUCACCAAAAAUCUGUCCAAAAGGACUAACUUUUGUGUGCCAAAACAGUCAUUUUUUCACCAAAUUCUAACACAAAACAGAGCAGUUCCAUUUCCAGCAUGUUUAAACAGUAAAAUCCCCAACAAACACGUACUCAAGUUUUCAGCUUUUAUCUAUACAUGACUGAAAUUCAGCUUAUACACUCAAACUCCAACCAAAUAUGAACUAGCAAAGUAGAAACAAGAUUCAAAAUGCAAUCGAACUAAGUAUUUAGACAAACUAGAUUAGAAUGAAUUCGAUUUGUGCAAACUAACAUGGAACAACAACUGAAUUUCACAAGCUAUUGCUUGAAACAGAAAUUAAACGAACAUCGCUAAACUAUCACGAUUAAUAACACCUAAAUAUACGACUAACUAUAUAAACAAGUGAACUAAUCUUUUGGUUUUUUCAUGAAAUUAACAUAAAGACUUAACUAUUCGACCGGCUAGGUCGAAAAGUUAAAAAUUCAGACUUAACAACUCUAUACAAAAUAGUUGACCGACUAGGUCGAAGAACCAAAAAUCAGAACUAACGGACAAACAAAACAAGGUCGACCGGCUAGGUCGAAGAACUGAAUGUUCAAGCUUAAUCAAAUCCGCACAAAAUAGUUGACCGGCUAGGUCGAAGAACCAAAAAUCAGAACUAACACACAAUAACGAACUACUCGACCGGCUAGGUCGAAGAACUGAAAUUCACAUUUAAAAAGUAACAUGUAAUUGAAAACCGAUACUACCCUAGCUCAUUUGCACAAAAAUAAAAAUAACAAGAAUAGAAAUUAAACCUUAAAACUAAUACUAAUUACAAAAGCAAACAGAAAAAUCAGAAAAGAUAAAAAGGAAUUAGGGUUUAUACCAAUCAAGGGCAUUUGACACUGUUCGAUCCAUGAGAAGAUGUCGGGGAUGUGAAGAGGUGGCUGUCCGACCUUGGGAGCAUAUGUUUCCUUUUGGAAGACGCUAAACUAAUAGAUUCCAGCGUCUUGCCAAAAGGAAACAAGUGCCUUUGGCCGAAAAAGAAAUAAAAAGAUGGAGAAGCAGCAGCGGCGGGCAGUGGCAGUCGCCGGAGUUUCGGGUUAAGACCAAUGCCAAAUGAUAGCUCUUGUCGAGCUAUAUACUUCUAUGUAGGCGCUGGGUGAAGGGGGUGGCUCAAUAUUCACGGAUUUCACAAAAAAUGAGGCUAGAGCUUUCCUAAAUCUAAAAUUCGUGAAUUUUGAGGGGGUUUUAAAGGAUUUUGUUUGAAGAUAUGGAAAGAAAAGGUUGAGAGGAACAAAGGGUGAAAUUUUGGGGUGGUUUGGGGUUCUUCCAGCGGUGGCGAUUUCCGGCCAGCGGAAUAGGGGCAGCGGGCGGCGGCUUGAGAAAGAGGAGAGAUGAAGAGAUGGGUCUAAGUUUGAAUUUUUAGAGAAA
rnacentral:lncRNA from 1 species